GAUUCAAUCAGCAGUCAGAGCGAUGCGAUAAAUAAUCCUUACCACAACAGAAGCGAAACCUUUGAUCCUACUAUUAAAGAGUGUUCUACUAAAUGUCUUCCAAGUGGACCAAUGACCAAGCUAUUGUGCUU